CUGACUUUCACGUGAGUGCACCAAUAAUGCCCUCUAGGGGCCUGGACCAUUGAAACACACUAAUGAGCGCUGAAUGCUGUCGAAACCAGACGUGCUGCUGUGCCUGAUCACACUGCUUGAUGAGCACUGGAAGGUCCUUACAAUUCUGCCCUCCUUUUGGGAACUGUUUCCCACAUAAUUGGUAGUUUCUAACUAAAUCUUAAGAAAUCGAGGUUAUGACAUCAGCAACGGCAACGUGUUCCGUGUCCUGGUUAAAAUUGCUUAUUUCUCUGGAUUUAAGCAUUCUUGGAAACAUUUGGGAUAAUGAGCUGGAUUGGACACCCCUGCUCUAAACAUUCAUUUUGUAACCAGCUUCAGUCUCAUACACCUUUCGACAUGCGAAUUCCACCGCUGACUUGUGCUCCUCUGUCCUGUAGGCUUCUAAAGCAUUGCAGGAUCACAACGGUGCCACUACAACAUGGUGGCUUUUCACACAUGAUUAGUUCUGCCAUCAGCAGCAGGUCUGAGGCAGGAGCACCAGCUUUCCUAAGCAGAUUUUGUCCUGUAGCUGACCCAUCAUUAGGCCCUAAUAAUCUAGUCCUUCACCGAGACCAGCAGCUGAGUCCGCCAAACCACGGCCGAGCCUGGGAAAUGCAGCUCCCAGCCGUGUCUAGUCUUGACGACAGCAGGGCUGCUGGAGGUCCUGAUAAAUAGCGACGGGAGUCAUAUUUGGGACACAAUGACAAGUUGUCCUCUAUCAUUAGUGCCGUGUGGGUGCCGAUAGGUGUAGAGCCGGGGAGCGGGGCACGCAGAUGGUACUGCCAGCACCUCUCGCUGUAGGAAUGGCAAUGAGAGAACUCUGUUGCCGUGUGUUGUAGCUCAUCAGCCCUGAAUCGCAUGUGUUAGCUAGAAGAUGUGAUGUACUAAACUGUGCCAUUGUGGUUGAUAAUCCAAAAUCUCUAUUGUACAACUAUCACAUUCCUUUUAAACAAAAACGCUAGUUUUUUUCCUAAAAUUAAUUUAAAAAACUGCAAUUCAUACAGUGACUUGAAUGCACCUCUUCUACAUAGAAUUAUUAGUUUCUUAGGGGGGGAAAACCCCUUAUUAAGUAGUUUGGAAUAAUCUUUUAUCAUCUCAUAGAAAAAGAAAAUUAACAACUUUUUCAAUGUCUAUUAAUAUUGAAUACUGAAUACUGUGUUAGUCAAAUCAGAGUCAUGUGGUGCGACCAAAAGCUGAAAAAGAAGAAGCAGGAAAUGAUGUCACAGAGACGAUGCAGAUACUCAUGACUGUCAAGGUCAAUGAGUCUCUUAACAUAUUAGAUAAUUCAACUUUUUUAUGCCAAGGCAAAGUUAGUUCAGUUUAUGAAAAACAUUCUCCAAAAAUGCAACAAUAUGAAUUGAUAAUUCGAGAUGGUUAUAGGAAAUACGUUUUAAAUGUAUUUAAAAUGACGAAUAAGAUGUGUGCA